AACGAACGCUGGCGGCAUGCCUAACACAUGCAAGUCGAACGAGACCUUCGGGUCUAGUGGCGCAAGGGUGCGUAACGCGUGGGAACCUGCCCUUAGGUUCGGAAUAACUCCCCGAAAGGGGUGCUAAUACCGGAUAAUGUCUUCGGACCAAAGAUUUAUCGCCUUUGGAUGGGCCCGCGUUGGAUUAGCUAGUUGGUAGGGUAAAAGCCUACCAAGGCGACGAUCCAUAGCUGGUCUGGGAGGAUGAUCAGCCACACUGGGACUGAGACACGGCCCAGACUCCUACGGGAUGCAGCAGUGGGGAAUAUUGUACAAUGGGCGAAAGCCUGAUCCAGCAAUGCCGCGUGAGUGAGGGAGGGCUGAGUGUUGUAAGGCUCUUUUACACGGGAUGAUAAUGACAGUACCGAGAGAAUAAGCUCCGGCUAGCUCCGUG
rnacentral:rRNA from 1 species